rnacentral:lncRNA from 1 species
CUGGGACUGUCUGCACCCUUGGCAGACUUAGGUCCUGGAGGUGCUGCCCCGUUGCGUGCAAGGGGCCCAUUGCAGUGUGUUCCCAUGCCCGGGCUGGGGCACUCGAUGAUAUUACUUCUGGCACCCCACCAACACCCGCGCUGUCCAUGAGUGUCCGUGCUGAAUAUCUGUGUGCAAGGGCACUGCAGUGUGCGUGGAUCGAUGAUGAUUCAAAUCAAACAUUCCUUGGAAAGCUGAACAAAAUGAGUGAAAGCUCAAUACGCCUCUCUCAUCGGGACUGAGGUCCGGCACCUUGGGUCGCCCAAAUCCUCCGGGAGUCAGACACAGGCUUGGGAGCCACUCCUCUGCUCCUGCCCUCCUCCAGCAGUAGGCAGAGUCCCUCCCUCCCGAGGGGCUGGUUCUUUGCCCCACUCUGCUAGCAGUCACGCCCAUGGUGAAGACACAGUGGUUGCCUCUUGUCGGGAAAAUUGCCUCGCUCUUGCUGACUAGAAAUCCUGAGAAGAUAUGGGGUGGGGGGUGUGCUAGCCUCCAGCAGUGGCCCUCAGCCAGAUCUCGGCCUUAGCAAAGGGAGCAGGAAGAGCAGAGUCCCCAACUGAUUUGCCCUGCCCAUAAUGGAUGGCAGGGCCCGGGUGGAGCCUUGUUCCAAGUUUUAAGUGGGUUGUAGCCCUCCAGUGUUGCUGCUGAGAGAGACUGUCAAGUCCAGGCUGCAGUGGGAGGUGCCCUGGCUCAUGGCUUCUUGUGCUUUGGUGGCUGUGGUCUCUUGACUUGAUGAUAUUCUGUCAGGGAGCUGAUGGAAGAUGGCGGGGAUUUGUGGGGAGGGCAGCCCCGCAAGGUACUCGUGAGUCCUGAUUUAGAGGAAAAGAAGAGCCUAAGGUUUGAGGGGAUGAAGGCAGCCGAAUCCAGACGGGCAUUGCAGAUAGACAGCUAGCCAGGG